AGUGAACGCUGGCGGUAGGCCUAACCCAUGCAAGUCGAACGGCAGCACAGUAAGAGCUUGCUCUUACGGGUGGCGAGUGGCGGACGGGCGAGGAAUACAUCGGAAUCUACUUUUUCGUGGGGGCUCACGUAGGGAAACUUACGCUCAUACCGCAUACGACCUACGGGUGAAAGCCGGCGAUCUUCGGACCUUGCGCGAUUGAAUGAGCCGAUGUCGGAUUAGCUAGUUGGCGGGGUAAAGGACCACCAAGGCGACGAUCCGUAGCUGGUCUGAGAGGAUGAUCAGCCACACUGGAACUGAAACACUGUCCAGACUCCUACGGGAGGCAGCAGUGGGGAAUAUUGGACAAUGGGCGCAAGCCUGAUCCAGCCAUACCGCGUGGGUGAAGAAGGCCUUCGGGUUGUAAAGCCCUUUUGUUGGGAAAGAAAAGCAGCAGGUUAAUACCCCGCUGUUCUGACGGUACCCAAAGAAUAAGCACCGGCUAACUUCGUG
rnacentral:rRNA from 1 species